rnacentral:misc_RNA from 1 species
CCGAGUUUACAACUCCAAACCCAAUGUGAACGUUACCAAACUGUUGCCUCGGCGGGAUCUCUGCCCCGGGUGCGUCGCAGCCCCGGACCAAGGCGCCCGCCGGAGGACCGACCAAAACUCUUAUUGUAUACCCCCUCGCGGGUUUUUUUAUAAUCUGAGCCUUCUCGGCGCCUCUCGUAGGCGUUUCGAAAAUGAAUCA